GAUGAACGCUGGCGGCGUGCCUAAUACAUGCAAGUCGAGCGAACAGACGAGGAGCUUGCUCCUUUGACGUUAGCGGCGGACGGGUGAGUAACACGUAGGUAACCUACCUAUAAGACUGGGAUAACUUCGGGAAACCGGAGCUAAUACCGGAUAAUAUUUCGAACCGCAUGGUUCGAUAGUGAAAGAUGGCUUUGCUAUCACUUAUAGAUGGACCUGCGCCGUAUUAGCUAGUUGGUAAGGUAACGGCUUACCAAGGCAACGAUACGUAGCCGACCUGAGAGUGUGAUCGGCCACACUGGAACUGAGACACGGUCCAGACUCCUACGGGAGGCAGCAGUAGGGAAUCUUCCGCAAUGGGCGAAAGCCUGACGGAGCAACGCCGCGUGAGUGAUGAAGGUCUUCGGAUCGUAAAACUCUGUUAUUAGGGAAGAACAAACGUGUAAGUAACUGUGCACGUCUUGACGGUACCUAAUCAGAAAGCCACGGCUAACUACGUG
rnacentral:rRNA from 1 species